AAAAUUUCACAAAAAAGGUUUUAAAUAUUUUAUAAAAAUUUUCACCAAAAUUAAAAAAAUAAAUAAAAAUUUGCGUUUCUAGAAAAAUGUUGGGUAUGCGGUUUAUAGCGCAUUGGUAUGC